rnacentral:rRNA from 1 species
AACGUAGGAGGCAAGCGUUGUUCGGAAUUACUGGGCGUAAAGGGCGCGUAGGCGGCCUCUUUAGUCAGACGUGAAAUCCCCCGGCUUAACCUGGGAACUGCGUCUGAUACUGGGAGGCUAGAGUUCGGGAGAGGGAUGUAGAAUUCCAGGUGUAGCGGUGAAAUGCGUAGAUAUCUGGAGGAAUACCGGUGGCGAAGGCGGCUGCCUGGCCUGUUCUUGACGCUGAGGCGCGAAAGCUGGGGGAGCAAACGGG